AGCCCACCUGGACGGCGCGGAUGGAGAGAAGAGACAGAAAGGCAAUCAGCAGCAGAACUGAACGCGUCCGAAGGUUGCAGAGAUGGUGAAGAGCUGCAGGGUGUCUUUGCGGUUCUCAGGACUAUGUGGCCAGAAUAUUUUCACUUCCAUUAGACAUCACCGUCCUGGCUCAGCUCAAAUACACAGCUGUGAAAAAAAUUUAUUGGCACCUCAGGUAAAGAUUUCUAAUAAAUUCUUCUGUCAUCACAGCUGCAUAUUAAAUAUCCACCCUUUUUUGAAUAUUUAUGCAAGUAAGGGAAAAAAAAUUAGUAUGUGGCUCAGAUAUUGGUAACUUCUGGCUACUCUUUUGUAUAUCUCCCCUUCUGUGAACGGGACAGCAUGUUCCAAGAUUGGAGCACACAGAGAUGGAUCUUAGAUAUAUUUUGGAUAAUUGCUUUGUUAAAUGACCAUGGCAGCCACUUUUUUCAGCCUUCUCUUUAAAAUCAUACAGUUUUUUUUAUUUCUAUUUUUUAUUUUCUAUGUAGAACUUGAAUGUAUCAGGAGGUAAUUCGGUCACUGAGUGAUGUAUUGUAUAAUUUAUUCAUGCUUUUUCCACAUCUUUACCAGGCGUGUCAACAAAUCGGUCUGUGUAGCUAUUAGCUUCUUCAACAACUUAACAGAUUGAGUGCUACACUUCUGUGUAAUCAGAAGCAUUUGACUAGAUUUUGUAUUUAUUUAUUUCUUUAUUUAUUUAUAUCUGCGAACCAGUAAAGGUUCUUAUCCUUUCGCAAUAAAGUUUAGCAUUCUCAAAAAGGAAGAGCCUGAGUAAAAUUGCUAAUAAUAUCUGAGCUGAUAAGAGAAGUGACAGAGGUCAGCUGUGAAUAGAAGAGCGUGUGCAGCCUGCAGCUCUUCACAUUUCAGACUCAAAUGUGUGUUAGUAACGGCAAGCCUGGAAGUUAUUACCGACUAAAGCAAAAGAAAAUUAAUUCUCGCGUGAAAGUUUGACACAAGCAGGUCUAGCCUAUGAAACACACUCAGUGUCAGACUUUCACCUAUGCAUUUUUUAUUUACCUUAAAUAGCAGGAACCCAGUUCAGUUGGAAGAAAAAUACAAUUUCAGACAUGUUUGAGAAUCAUGUGCAGUGACUUGCUGUCAGUCAGAGCAGCAGGUAACACUUAGCCGUCUGCUCGCAUUCAGCCAGAGAAACGUGAGGCGCAGAGCGCACUCUGAUCUCUGCCGACCUCCCCUGACACAUUUAAAUCAGUCCACAUUAGUAGAUGAAAGGUCAGACAGACAAACAGUGAGCAACACUAAGACCUGGAGGUUCGUAUGGGAGAUUCUUGUCAAAUUGUUUGUCACCAACAUGAACCUCAAUACUCCAAGAAAUAGAAAAAAAAAUAGUUUUUAGAUAAUUUGCAUGCAGUUAAACCUCAGUCUUAGUGUCGCCUGCCCACAGAUCCUCUGAAACAGCAAAGUCACUGUACACAAUCGUCUUAUAUUGACUCACACCAAGGACUGGGCAUCAAUUUAGCCUCAACAAAAAGAGAAAAGCUCAAUCUAAGAGAAAGAUCAGUCGGACCCGACACAAGUUAAUGAAACCCAAUCAAUGCCCAUAAAUCCUCACACUCUCUCCUUCACACAAACCAUUGGAGAUGCACGGAUAAGAAGUUAAUUUAUUGCUAAAGACUUUGAAGGACACUGAGAAAUCUCAGUUUCACUCUCUCAGCUUAAAAUAACAAAUGGCUUUAAAUCCAAUCAGUUUACAAAUUAGAAUUUAGUUUUUUAGAUGGCAUUUCACCAAAAACAUCAGUACAUCUCCAGACCAAAUCAUUUAAAAAUUACAUAAUUACCACAAUCAUAAACCUCUAACCAUCAUUAGAUUUAGCAUCUUGGCAAAGCAGCAGAUUAUCCACAAUUUUAGGGAAGAAACAUGACAGGGUUGUAUGUGAGAAAUGGAGAUAAGGAAUGGUGCUGAUGGUGAUAAUAGUGAUAUUUAGACAAACUGAUCAUCAGUAACUGGACACCAGUUUUGAGUCUCCUGCAGUUUCCCCUCAAGGAAUUCAAGCCUCAGUACAUGGACACCCAAAGGCGCCAAAUUCAAUAACUCAACUACUAAAUAACUGGGGAACAUUGAUUUAAAAAACCUCUAGGCAGAAUAUUUGCAAAAUACAGAAUUGUCUCAAAGAAAUUUUUAUGCUAGAGAUGUACUAUUUUAUGACAGUUUCAGUAUGCAGAUUAUUUGAAGCUUUUAUGACUGAAAUCCAAAAGUGCCAUCAUUCAAAAACCGAGUAAAUGAUUAACUACUGGUUUGGAAUCUGUUAGGUACUGGGGUUUUUGGUUCAGUUUUAGUUGUGGGUUGGGUUCCUAUUUGUUCCUACCACUAGAGGGUGCCAGAGGCUGCCGUCCCGGAGGGGUGUGUCGAAUCUCCCGACACACCGGUUGCUGAUCACUCAUCUGCUCGGAUGUUGAAGAGGAGCUGACCGACACUCAUUCAACGCCUGAGUGUUAACCUGCAAUGGUGCCGCUCUGGAAACGUGGAGUUCCCUUCCGAGAACUUGUCCCGCUUGUUCUUACCUGUCCGCCCUCCGCCGCAGCCUUCUCCCUCUGGACCCUCAAAGGACCCACUCGAAGACCUACCCGAUCCUACGGCCCGGAACCCUUCCCCCAGCUCGUAAUCCACCUCGCCACAAUGUGUCAUUCAGACUGCGAGCCGUUCCCUGGGAGACGCUUCCCCGCCCGCGAUACAUUUCUCUGAUUUCUUUGUAAAUAAACCUUUAACGGAACAUCUAUUCUCCUGUCGUGUUCUGCAUGUGGGUUAGGAAAGUUGAGCCAAACAUGACAGAACACUCAGGCCAAAAUCCUAGCCCAGCGGACGCGAUAAGGAAGACUUUAUCUGAACAACACUCUCUAAUUCAGUCCCACGAGUCCGCCCUGCAGGAGCUGAGUGCUCGCCAAGCUGAAACCAAUCGCCGCUUGGAUGAGUUAACCACAUUUCUACGGAAUUCUCUUCCGCAACCCCCGGCACCAGAACCAGUCGCUACUCCGGAUCCAGUUCCACCGGCCAGAACCACGUUUUCUGAGAUCCGCCCGCCGACUCCUGAAAGGUUUUCUGGAGAUCACAACAAAUGUGCCGCUCUGGAAACGUGGAGUUCCCUUCCGAGAACUUGUCCCGCUUGUUCUUACCUGUCCGCCCUCCGCCGCAGCCUUCUCCCUCUGGACCCUCAAAGGACCCACUCGAAGACCUACCUGAUCCUACGGCCCGGAACCCUUCCCCCAGCUCGUAAUCCACCUCGCCACAAGUAAGACCACUCCUUUUCUUCGAAGCUCCCAAUUCCCAUGACCUUAAACUCAUCAUCUCUCUGUUACCUUCCUAGUGUGUCAUUCAGACUGCGAGCCGUUCCCUGGGAGACGCUUCCCCGCCCGCGAUACAUUUCUCUGAUUUCUUUGUAAAUAAACCUUUAACGGAACAUCUAUUCUCCUGUCGUGUUCUGCAUGUGGGUUAGGAAAGUUGAGCCAAACAUGACAGAAUCAAAAAUAAAAUCACAUGUAGAUAAGUAAAAAACUGAAAAAAAUUGAGAGAUAAUUCAACAUGAGAGCCGAUUAUUAUAAUUCUACAAAAGAAGCAACUCAUUUUCAUUAAUUUAAGUUUAAAUAUGGCAAGGGAUUUAAACCCUUACAAUUUCAGGGUUAAAAAUAAUAAUUUGUUAAGGUAAGCUACACUACGAAUACAUUUAUGAGUAACAACUUAAUCCCCAGUAUCAAACCAAGUACAAUCUUUGAUGUUCCAAAGUUCCCCUUAAGAAAAAUUGGAAAUUUAGUUGCUGGAGAAAAACUGCAAGAGAGAUCAAAACUUCAACUUCAGGAGUUGUGAUUGAUUUCAGUGAUCAAGAGCUAGAGAUGAAGCGCCGAAGAGGGGCUCUCGUGGUGGAGGCUCCUCACUCAACUGCUUAUAAA